GAGAGGAAGGAAAUGAUCAGCAGUACAAUUGAGCAUUCAAUGAAGGGUAGGAUAGUCCAACCAGUACAAUGAGGUGGUGGAUCCAACGGUGACAUUCGGUAGGUUCCGUUAACCUUUUGGACUUCAUUUUUUUUUGCCCCCUCGCAAAUCGCGAUGCAAGCUGGAGCACGGAUGACGGACCACGCACGGCGCGCGACAACUAGUCAACCAAUCAAACGCGCGGCCUGACGCAAAGGGCAC
rnacentral:lncRNA from 1 species